rnacentral:rRNA from 1 species
AUGUGUGGCUGGUGCUGCUGCCUCGAGUGCAUCCAUAACAUCCCUCCCCUCAAUCUCCUCUUCCUCCACUUCUCCUCGGCUCCACGGACGGGAAGGGACGGAGAAGGAGCACGAACCCUCAGCCCCAUGGCCUCCAUCUCGGUCCCGGACCCUGCCUCUUCCCCAACCGAGGAUGCAGAGAACAUAAGGAAAGCAGUACAAGGGUGGGGGACGGACGAGAACGCGCUGAUCGAGAUCCUGGGCCACCGGACGGCGGCGCAGCGCGCGGAGAUCGCCGUGGCCUACGAGGGCCUCUACGACAAGCCCCUCCUCCGCACGCUCCAAGACGAGCUCUCCAGCCACUUCAAGGGCGCGAUGACGCUGUGGACGAUGGACCCGGCGGCGCGGGACGCCAAGCUGGCCUACAAGGCGCUCAGGAAGAAGGGCGGCGACCGGCACGCCUGGGUGCUCAUCGAGGUCGCCUGCGCGUCGUCGCCGGACCACCUCGUCGCCGUCAGGAAGGCCUACUGCUCCGCCUAUGACUCGUCGCUCGAGGAGGACGUCGCCGCCUGCCCGCUCUACAAGGAGCCCCUCAAGCAGUUCUUGGUGCGCCUGGUGAGCUCGUACCGCGACGGUGGCGACCACGUCGACGGCGAGCUGGCGAGGGCGGAGGCGGCCGAGCUGCACGGCGCGGUGGCGGCCAAGAAGCAGCCGCUGCACGGGGACGUGGUCCGCAUCGUCAGCUCCAGGAGCAAGCCGCAGCUCAAGGCGACGUUCCAGCACUACAAGCGAGAGCACGGCAAGGCCAUCGACGAGGUUCUCGAGGGGAAUCGCAACGACAAGCUCUCGGCGAUGCUGAAAACUGCGGUCUGGUGCCUGACAUCGCCGGAGAAGCACUUCGCAGAGGUGAUCCGGAGCUCAAUCAUCGGGCUCGGCACCGACGAGGAAUCCCUGACCAGAGCGAUCGUCUCGCGCGCCGAGGUCGACUUGAAGAAAGUCAAGGAGGAAUACAAGGUGAGGUACAAGACGACGGUGACCAAGGAUGUCGUCGGCGACACUUCCGGCUACUACCAGGGCAUCCUGCUCACCCUCAUCGGGGCCGAGUAG